rfam:Acinetobacter sp. ADP1 complete genome.
UAUGAGAGUAGAAGCUGUCAACAUGAUGACGUUGUCACUAUGUGGGUCAUUGCUCUAGGU